AACGAACGCUGGCGGCGUGGAUAAGACAUGCAAGUCGAACGGGAACUAUGGAUAGCUUGCUAACUGUAGUUCUAGUGGCGGACGGGUGCGUAACACGUGAGCAACCUACCCUGAAGUGGGGGAUAGCCUUCCGAAAGGAAGAUUAAUACCGCAUGUGAUCUCCGGAUCAAAGGCGGCUUCGGCUGCCGCUUCAGGAUGGGCUCGCGGCCUAUCAGCUUGUUGGUGAGGUAACGGCUCACCAAGGCGACGACGGGUAGCUGGUCUGAGAGGACGAUCAGCCACACUGGAACUGAGACACGGUCCAGACACCUACGGGUGGCAGCAGUCGAGAAUCAUUCACAAUGGACGAAAGUCUGAUGGUGCAACGCCGCGUGGAGGAUGAAGGCCCUAGGGUCGUAAACUCCUGUCAUCAGGGAGUAAGCCUUGGUCGUUAAUAGCUUCCAAGGUUGAUAGUACCUGAAGAGGAAGGGACGGCUAACUUCG
rnacentral:rRNA from 1 species